rnacentral:rRNA from 1 species
GACGAACGCUGGCGGUGUGCCUAAUACAUGCAAGUAGGACGCAGUUGCGCACGGGGGCGUAACGCGUAGGUAACUACCUAUUAGAGGGGGAUAACUAUUGGAAACGAUAUUUAAUACCACAUACUAGUAGAUGGACCUUCGUUGUAUUAGCUAGUUGGUAGGGAAAUGGACUACCUAGGCAACGAUACAUAGCCGACCGGAGAAGAUGAUCAGCAUCACUGGGACUGGGACACGGCCCAGACUCCUACGGGAGGCAGCAGUAGGGAAUCUUCGGCAAUGGGGGUAACCCGGACCGAGCAACGCCGCGUGAGUGAUGAAGGUUUUCGGAUCGUAAAGCUCUGUUGUUAAGGAAGCAGUACUUAACCAGAAGCGGACGGCGAACUACGUGCCAGCAACCGCGGUAAUAC